AGUGAACGCUGGCGGUAGGCCUAACACAUGCAAGUCGAACGGCAGCACAGUAAGAGCUUGCUCUUACGGGUGGCGAGUGGCGGACGGGUGAGGAAUACAUCGGAAUCUACUUUUUCGUGGGGGAUAACGUAGGGAAACUUACGCUAAUACCGCAUACUACCUACGGGUGAAAGCAGGGGAUCUUCGGACCUUGCGCGAUUGAAUGAGCCGAUGUCGGAUUAGCUAGUUGGCGGGGUAAAGGCCCACCAAGGCGACGAUCCGUAGCUGGUCUGAGAGGAUGAUCAGCCACACUGGAACUGAGACACGGUCCAGACUCCUAUGGGAGGCAGCAGUGGGGAAUAUUGGACAAUGGGCGCAAGCCUGAUCCAGCCAUACCGCGUGGGUGAAGAAGGCCUUCGGGUUGUAAAGCCCUUUUGUUGGGAAAGAAAAGCAGCAGGUUAAUACCCCGCUGUUCUGACGGUACCCAAAGAAUAAGCACCGGCUAACUUCGUG
rnacentral:rRNA from 1 species